CACCAAACAAUGACAAGUGACCGAGACCUUUGGAGAUAUUCUGUGCUUGAGAAAACCUGGCAAGCCAAGUGAGACCAUAACGGUGGCCUAUGCCAGUGCUGUAUAACCAGCCUAUUUAAGAGUACCCUUCAAUCAUUGAAUAAUAAGCUAUGCUUGUGAAGACCUGUUGAGGCAAGUGAAAUCACUGUCAUGGCCGAUGACAGUACCGCCUGAUUAACACUCAUGCCAGUGGAACAUUAAAAGCACCAUUCAAGCAUGAUCGGUGCCAGUGGCACGUAAAAAGUGCAAUUUGAGAGUGACUGAUGCCAAUACCACCUGACUGGCCCUUGUGCCGGUGGUACAUAGAAGCAUCCACUACACUCUUUGAGUGGUUGGCAUUAGGAAGGACAUCCUGCUGCAGAGACUUUGCUAGAUCAGAUUGGAGACUGGUGCAGCCUUCUGGCUGUCCAGCCCUCAGUCAAACUGUCCAACCCAUGCCAGCAUGGAAAACGGAUGUUUAAUGAUGUUGAUGUUAAUGAUAUAUAUAUAUAUAUAUAUAUAUAUAUAUAUAUAUAUAUACAUAUAUAUGCAUGUGCAUAUAUAUGUUAAUAUGUAUACAUUUAUACAUAGGUGUGUGUUGUGUUAAGUAGUUCACUUCCUAAGGGCAAAAUUUUCAGGUUCUGUGUGACUGCAUGGCUUAGUGCUAGGACUGCCAGAUCCUUGCAAAAUGGCAUCGGUUGACCAAAACUGAAAGACUCUCUUUUUAUAUAUACGCAGAUUUGUGUGUGGGUGAAUUUGUUUGUUUUUCCUUGUCUUGACAUUGUGCAGUUGUUGUAAACAAGAGUCACUGUCAUUAAAAACAAUGUCAUUUGUUUCUAAUAGUCCCUCAAAACAUCUCUGGUCCAGGGAAAUCAUUGUUAUUUGGAAGCAGGUGAGGUUUGUCUUUAAGAAGGGCAUCUGGUCAUAGAAAAUCACAUGAAACAGUUUUGUGCACUUCAUGCUCACAUGGAAAUGUGCAUGUUGACUGGAGAUAUAUAUAUCACGUGACCGACCAGGCUAUCAGAUGUUGCUACACAUCGCUGGUCACAAUGCGCUUCGCAUUGUUUUAGCCUUCAAAUGACGCCACCCCGCUGGCUAAGCGAGCAGGCCGACAGAAGAAAGAGUGAGAGAAAGUUGUGGCGAAAGAGUACGGCAGGGAUCACCACCAUCCCCUGUCAGAGCCUUGUGUAGCUUUAGGUGUUUUCGCUCAAUAAACACUCACAACGCCCGGUCUGGGAAUCGAAAUCGCGAGUCCGCUGCCCUAGCCACUGGGCCAUUGCGCCUCCACAUAUAUAUAUAUAUAUAUAUAUAUAUAUAUAUAUACAUACACAAAACAAAUGUGGCUGUGUGGUUAAAAUGCUUACUUCCCUAUCAUGUGGUUUUAUUUUAGUCCUAUUGUGUGUCUUCUACUUUCACCGUGGACGAAGCAAUGAUUAGAUUUUGGUAGAUAGAAGCUGAAAGAAGUCUGUUGUAUUUAUUUGUAUAUAUAUAUAUAAAAGAGCAUUGUGCUUCCCUUGAAGCAAUGUCGUAUCAAAGAAGGAAAAGAAAAGGGAAAAUAAGAAAGUUUCUAAUUAUAACUAUAUUUCAGGUGCAAAGGCCUCUCUUCAGAAGGAAGCAAUUCUGGAAAUCUCCAGUUACACUGAUUCCAUUACUUCCUGAAACUACUGAGUUUCUCUAAGGUAACGGAAUUGGUGUAACUGGACAUUUCCCAGACUGCUUAUUUCUGAGGGUGGGUCUUUACACCUGAGGUAUACAGGUUUUUGUAAAACUUUCAGGUAUAAUUAGAAGCUUUCUUAUUUUCUUUUUUCUUUUCCUUCCCAUAUUUACAUCUAUAAGCAUAACUACCUUUACACAUAUAUGCACAUGCAUCUAUUAUAUUGCAUCCACUUUUGGUACUUGCAAGAGUUUGAUGGCUCAAGAGGAUUGCUUGUGUCUUAUUUUGCUUUGUUCUGUAUGAUUAGAUAUACUUCUUAACAAGCAACAUUUUGCAGAGUGUAUGGUGUGCAUUUUUUAGUAUGGCACUGCUGUUUAUAGUUCUUGUCUUGUGCUUGACACUACUACAAAGUGCUAACAAACACAUCUCGAUUGUCCAAAUACUAUAGUGUACUGAGUACUUUUUUUGUGCUGAUGCAUCAUCAUCAUUGUUUUAAUGUCCACUUUUCCAUGCUUGCCUGCAUUGGAUGGAAUUUGUCGAAGUUCUCUGUGACUGCGUGGUUUAUCUUUGGUCAGAUGCCCUUCCUGUUGCCAAUGCUCAUUUGUUUCCAAGUACGGUAACAUUUCUCUCAUGAUCCUGGAAGAUUGGAGAUGGACAGCACUUGCAUAGCUGUAACAUUUGCCUACAACUGCCAAGUGAUGUCAAGUUAAGGAGACAAUAACACACACACACAAACAAUGGCCCUCUUUCAGUUUUCAUCUUCCAAAUAGCAAGGCUUUUGGUCAAUGGGUCUAUAGUAGAAGAAAUUUACCUAAGAUGCUACACAGUGAAACUGAACCCAAAACCAUGUGGUCUUGAAGUAAACUUUUCGCCACACAGCUAUACCACUCGUUCAUAUUGGAAAAUUUAUUUUUCACCUAUGAUGAGACUAUAGUCUAUCUAACUUGAGAGCUCACCAGAUUAGUUAAUGGUAUGGCUCUUGAAGUUUGUGCUGUAGAUCUUGAGAUCACUUGCUUCUCAAUAUUCCAGGAGUCUUGAUCUCUUCAGUUUUUUAUUCUGAACCCAAAGCCACCAUAGUGGUGUUGUAUAACACACUCAAUGAAAUCACCACCUGUGAUAGUGAAGUUAUCGUCAUUUGUUAUUCAGGUAGUUUGCAGAAUGGUCUCAUAAAACCCAUCAUUCCAUUCAUUUACUUACCCAGAAACUUUGCCUAUGGCCAAUCAAAAUUUGACAAUUCUACCACUUACUCUGACUACCUCCAUUAUAUUCUUUAUCCAAUUUUCUACUAACAGAAUGCCAACACCACUUAUCCAGCAGUUCUUACCCACCCAAAACAAUUUAUACACCUGUGUCUUUGCCUGAGGAGUCUGACUAAAGCUCUCCUCCAUCAUGACUCAUGCACACAGCACAUACCCACUCAUCUCAGCUCUAACUUUUCUAUAGUCUCAAACCUACCUUCAUAGUGCCACUGUUAAGAGUGGCUGCCCUAAAGUUUUACCUCUCAUAGAAAAGUUUGUGUGUGUUUAUCAGUCCCGCUUGGGUAAACUUGUGUCAGCUCUGUGCUUCUGAAAGAAGGUUUAUGCAAUUCUUUGUUCUUAUCCAUAGCUUAAAAGAGUAAUGUGUGUCACCAAAUGGUUUACUAUUUUGUCCAUCAUUCAUUGUCAAGCUGUUAUAGAUAAUCAUUAACAAGUUAUUGCAAACAGUCAUUAAAAAGAUUGGUAAUAGAGAGUGGAUCAGUAAGAUCUAAAAUGUACACACACACAAAUUUAUCAUGUACUGUGAGAAUUUGUUCUGGCACCCCAUCACUACUAUCUUUAUCUUCUUUCCAGCUACUCAUCACAACCUUAUAUAAUAUGGAAUAGUCUUUGCUUGUCCCUCUGUCAUAUUUUAACCUCCAAACAACUGGCAUUGUUAAUACUCUUAAAUACUCACCCUCUCACUUAGUUAUGCCCCCCCUAUUUAAAUUUUUUUUUCCUUGUCAUAUAAGUUACUUGGCAACCUCACUACCGUCGAUGGCAAGAAAAAAAAAAACACCCGGUACACUCUGAUUGGCGUUAGGGAGGACAUCCAGCUGCAGAAACCAUGCCUGGAACUCGAUGGAGCCCUGCAGCUCUCCAUAUAAUAUCAAAUCAACCAAACCAUGCCAGCAUGGAAAACAGGCGUUGAGUGAUGAUAAUGAUGUUGAGAUAUAUAUAUAUAUAUAUAUAUAUAUAUAUAUAUAUAUAUAUAUAUAUAAUAAACAAUAUGCGAGAAAGAAAAUGAAAUUUAAGAGAAAACUUUAUUAAUCACUGUGAUUGUUCCGCCUAUCAUCCAUCGGUCUCUGAUUGUCUCGACCAAUCGUCCAUCGGGUCAGAAUCUGUUCAAAUAAUUGUAGGGCAUCUUACGGUGUAUAUGUGCCCCCCUCCGCUAUCUCACACACGGACAUAGUCUAUGAGUGUAUUAUGCGCCCUCGGCUCCUGAUGACGUUGUAGAAGUGCUGUCACAACAUACGGUAUGUUUUGGGCUGACCAAACUGAUUUUUCCAGAGAUAGAAACAGAUAGAAAGAGAGAGAGAGAGAGAGAGAGAGAGAGAGAGAGAGAGAGAGAAAGGAUGGGGAACGAACUGUUUCCCGCACAGGAGUGGUAUUUCAUUGGCUCCAUAAAGAUAAUAGAUCAAAUCGACUUCGAUUGGAUUUGAACUCAAUCUAAUACUCUAGCAACUCCUCCAAUUGGGCAUGUGACAGAUGCACAUGCAUACAUAUAUAUUUUUAUGUAUGCAUGUGUGUGUGUAUAUAUAUAUAUAUAUAUAUAUAUGCAUGCAUGUAUAUAUAUAUAUAUAUAUAUGCAUGCAUGCAUGUGUGUAUGAAAUUGAUUAAUAAUUAAUUAAUUUUACCCUCAAUUGUUGAAAUUAUAUAUAUAUAUAUGUACAUACACUAUAGAAAUGGUCGUAUAGCAAAAUAUGUAAAUACACAUGUGUUGAAUCUAUAUAAUUAUAUACUCUUUAUAAACUAUGUGUAUGAAUAUAAUAUAUAUAUAUAUAUAUAUAUAUAUAAAGGCGCGCGCGCGGCUUAUUCAAACACAACUCCCACUCAACAAAAAUUUUAUAAAUUUGACUCUACUCUCGAGUAUUGGGUCUCUCUUCAUCAGGUAAUAUUCCGUUGUUUUAAAACUUGCUUUGGAACAAUAAUCUUAAUAAUUCAACAAUCAUACACACACACGUGUGUGCAUUCAAUUAUAUAUAUAUAUAUAUGUAUAUAUAUAUAUUAUAAAAGGUAUUUAUUAUAAUAUACCAAUCUCUCCCUACCUUCUACUAUAUAAUGUUAAACACUAUUUGUACAUGUGAAUCAGUGCAGGUCUUUGCUGUUUUUUUUUUUUUUCCUAGAUUCAAAUCAGAAAUCAACGUGUCCAGGUGUAGUAGUAGAGUAGCCUUUAUUCACGAUAUACUUAUAUUUCAAGUAGACUCGUUAUUUAAAUGGGUUUGUAUAUAUUUGUGUGCGUGUGUGUAUUUGCAUCGGUGUAAGCGACACAAACCUGUAAUGUAUGUAAUGUAAGUACACCAGUGCUAUUUUCAUAGGUGUGCCUAAAAUAUACUUUUAAGUGUGUGUGUUAUCAGUCUAUCUGUGUACGUGUGUGUGAUCGCCUGUUAGAUAAGUGCUCCUAGUGUUCAGGGAUCCGUACGUUAUAUAUUUUUCCCCUCCCUUAGUUCCUUUUACAUACCAGCAUAUGUGACAGGUAGAGCAAAUCAAUAACAAAAGGCAAAAUCAAAUACAAAAAAAAAUUACAAAACUCUAAGGGGACAUUCACAGUUAAUAUUAUUACUUUGACGCUCAAAGGAAAAAAAAGUUAUAGUUGCCUAACUGACUCCUCCGAAAAAAAAAAAAAAAAAAAAAGAAGCAAAAUAAUAAUAAUAAUAAUAAUAAUCUAAGCGAACCUGAAUAUAAUUUACAUUUUCACUGAACUUCUUUCUUUUCGUGGGUAAAGACUGUUAAAAAAAAAUGUAUAAAGAAAAAAAUGAUAAACGACUUCACACAAGAAACACGAACAGCAGAUAAUUACAUACACACACACACACACACGCAUGUAUAUAUAUAUAUAUAUAUACAAACACAUACAUACGUUCGCGCGCACGCACACACCACACACCAACACACACUCAUUCAGAUAAUCACGCUAGAUGCAAUUAUGACUGUUUUCACUGCUAACCUAAAUCUACCCUGUUGGCUCUGCUUACUUUUCACGUUAAGUUUUCAGGUAUUUAUUCAUACAUACACCCACACACUAACACACACACACGUGCAUAUGUAACAUAUAUAUAUAUAUAUAUAUAUACACACAUAUAUAUAUAUACAUACAUACAUACAUAUUGUAGUUGCCUGUAAUAGAUAUAACGUGAUUUUAUGUGUCAACAAUUAAUAGUUAUCUGAUAUAAUCUGGAAAAAGAAAAGGGGGAAAAAAAAAAUCUUAGCGGGAAAUUAAUAUUGACAAUUGAAGAAGAUUUAAAAUAUCUGUGUGUGUUACUUAUUUGUUUUAUGUUCUGCAUAUAGAUUUAAGGCAGUUACUGAAAAAAAAAAAAGAAAAAAAAAAAAUCUUCCACAUGCGUCAAGUUUCAUCUGGUAGGAAUGUCAUUCAUAUAGAAAAUGUUUCGCUUCUUUGGUUGCUUAUACAGGAAGGAAAAAAUAAACCUAAACAGCAAGCUCGGUGUGUUUUUCAUUAUUGGUUUUCCUACUUUUCAGUGUGUGUAUAUAUAUAUAUAUAUAUAUAUAUAUAUAUAUAUAUAUAUAUAUAUAUUCUUUUUCUAUUAACAGUUAUCGUGCUAGAUCAAUUAGUAAGUUUUUAUUGAUUAAUGUUUUAUAAUAACUGUUGCUUUCUUUAUUAAAAAGAAAAGAAAAAAACCGUCAUCUACCUACUUAUUUCUUUAACAGUCCUCUUUUAGAAGAUUCAUACAAUUACAUUUAAUUUGUUUUGCAUUACAAGUAUAUUUAGUUCUUCUAAGAAAAUAACUUUAGUUCCUUAUAAAUUAACUCGUCUGUAUUGUUUGUUUGUUAAUAAUAAUAAAUUCUGCUGUAGGCACAAGCCCUGAAAAUUUGGAGCUUGGGAAUAGACGAGUUGAUUAUAUCGAUUCUCAGUUCCCAACUGCUACUUAUUUAAUCGGCCCCCAAAAGGAAGAAAAGCAAAGUCAACCUUAAUAAUAAUUGUUUGUAAUUUGGGCAAGAGGCCAGCACUUUUGAGGGGGAAGGGUUAUUCGAUACCAUUUACCUCAGUACUUGACUGAUAUUUUGCUAAUUUUAUCGACCCCCCGAAAAAAAUGAAAGAGGGUUAAGUUGAUCUCGGCGGGAUUUGAACUCAAAAUGUAAAGAGCCAGAAUAAAUGUCAAGGCCCCGCUCCGAUGGCUUAACGAAUUUGCCAGCUCGCCGCCUUCUAUAUAUUUCUACUUAGGAUUCAAGACCAACAAAUUCGCGGGGAGAAGUUAGUUGAUACCAGGGACCUUAGUACAUAAUUAGUACUUACUUAAUCGGCUUUGUAGGAUAAAAAAAACAAAGAUGACUUCGGCGAGAUUUGAACUCAGAACAUAAACGGCUCAGAAUAAAUAACGGAAAGCACUUUUUCCAACGCUCUAACGAUUUUGGCAGUUCACCGCUUUUAAAUUGCUUCUAAUUUAGACACAAAGCCAGCAAUUUUGAGCUAAUGUUUUAGUCGCGACUCCAGUAUCUGACUGGGACUUUUAUUUAAUCGAGACCAAAACGAUGAAAAGUCGAACUUAGAGAACAAUAACAAUAAUAAUAAUAUCGGUGGUUGUGUCAUUUUGAGAGUUUUGUUUUUUAAUAACUGAUUAAAAAUAUGUUAAAAGA
rnacentral:lncRNA from 1 species